UACGGAGGAUCCAAGCGUUAUCCGGAUUUAUUGGGUUUAAAGGGUGCGUAGGCGGAAUGAUAAGUCAGUGGUGAAAGCCUACAGCUUAACUGUAGAAUUGCCGUUGAUACUGUUGUUCUUGAGUAUAUUUGAUGUGGGCGGAAUGUGUCAUGUAGCGGUGAAAUGCUUAGAUAUGACACAGAACACCGAUUGCGAAGGCAGCUCACAAAACUAUAACUGACGCUGAGGCACGAAAGCGUGGGGAUCAAACAGG
rnacentral:rRNA from 1 species